GGCGACGAUGGGGAUGGGGCUCCCCCGAUAACCGCCUGAGAAGGCUGAUGGCUCCUGCCAAGAC
ncrna:Stenotrophomonas maltophilia R551-3 Fluoride riboswitch